UACGUAGGGCGCAAGCGUUGUCCGGAAUCAUUGGGCGUAAAGAGCUCGUAGGCGGUCUGUCGCGUCGGCUGUGAAAUCCCGAGGCUCAACCUCGGGUCUGCAGUCGAUACGGGCAAACUAGAGUAUUGCAGGGGAGACUGGAAUUCCUGGUGUAGCGGUGAAAUGCGCAGAUAUCAGGAGGAACACCGGUGGCGAAGGCGGGUCUCUGGGCAAUAACUGACGCUGAGGAGCGGAAGCGUGGGGAGCGAACAGG
rnacentral:rRNA from 1 species